rnacentral:tRNA from 1 species
CCCUGGUUAGCUCAGUUGUUAGAGCGCUCCACUGGAAAUGGAGAGGUCCCGGGUUGGAUACUCGGACCAGGAG